rnacentral:rRNA from 1 species
AAUUUUGGACACUGGGGGAAACCCUGAUCCAUCCAUCCCGCGUGUAUGAUGAAGGCCUUCGGGUCGUAACGUACUUUCGGUAGCGACGAAAAGGUACAUCCCAAUACGCGAGCCUGCUGACGGUAUCUGCAGAAUAAGCAACGGCUAACUACGUGCCAGCAGCCGCGGUAAUACGUAGGCUGCAAGCGUUAAUCGGAAUUACUGGGCGUAAAGAGUGUGCAGGCGGUUCGGAAAAAAAGGUGUGAAGUCCCAGGGGUCAACCUUGGAACUGCAUUUUUAACUGCCGAGCUAGAGUAUGUCAGAGGGGGGUAGAAUUCCACGUGUAGCAGUGAAAUGCGUAGAUAUGUGGAGGAAUACCGAUGGCGAAGGCAGCCCCCUGGGAUAAUACUGACGCUCAGACACGAAAGCGUGGGGAGCAAACAG